GUUAAUAGUUCAAACAGAUGAUAAUUCGUAGUUGAUUUUUAACCUGUUGCUUCAAAGGUCAUUGGAAAUCAGUUAAAACGUUACCAAACGGAUGCUUCGAUUUGCUCCUAAUUAUGUCAAAACGCAAAUUUCUAGUCUUCCUGAGGAUGUCGGGUGCAUCGAAUGCAGUGGGCUUCUGUUUCGGGACACAGGGCUAUUUCAGCUGCUUCAGGUGGGGAGUCCUGCCGCUUUGUGGAGCUGCUGUACUGGAAGGACUGGGUGGGCAUCUAAUAGAUAUCCUGGCUAUUACUGUGCCGUGGACCUUCUGAUAAUAGGGUUUUUUUUCUGUUGUAUUAACUAACCAUAGCUGGCUGAACUUACUUGAAUUCCUUUACCUCUCCUAGUCCCACUGAUUACAAGAAGGUAACAAUCAUCUACUUUAUUGUUUCCGGGGAGUAAAUGAGGUCAACAGGAGAGGACUGGGGCUCUGCGUAACGCGAUAAAUACCAGGGUUUUCCCCUAGCCUUUCUUUGAGAAUCUGCUCUAGUCCCAUGACUCAGGAAGUCACAAGACCAAUGAAUUGCUGAUAACGUUAACAGCUCAUAUUGAUAGCCCCAGCUAAGGUGAAUCAUUGAUCAUCAGUACAAAAUGUAUAAGUAAUUUCAAAAUUAUUUUAAGAGAAUAAGAAGACACUGAAAAAGUAAGUUUAUGGUUUGAGAUUAGAUUUGCAAGGAAAACUAUUCCUUUAAGGACCUAAAUAGUCUGAAAGCCCUUUAUAACUAUUAACUUACAUAUGAAAGGUCAUAAGUCAUACGUAUUUGCCUUUUAAUCAGGACUUUAUGGUCAGGCCAUUACGGAGAACAUUUGGUCAGUUUAGUUAGGUUCUGCUCCAAAUACAUGCUGUCCACACCUAUUCUUUUCUGUGAUGUUUUACUAAAUUCAGUUAGCAUCGUCUCUAAAUUAGUGAACAUUUACUGUAUAUACUUAUUAAGAAUUAAAAGAAAAUAAUCUCUAUGCUCCAGCUCACCACGACUAAGUAUUAAAAGUGGUGGUGUUUUCUAAAAUCUAGAUUUCUUAAAUCAGCUCUCCAUGCCAACAUUUUCCAUCUGGACCUUGCUCUGCCCUUUCUAACCUGCAGUGUUGUUUAACACACAGUGACCACGUGGCCUCAUCAUUUUUAAUGGCGAUUUGACAGAUUUCUUUCUGGUUGACUUUCAACGGCCACAUCACUCCUCUUGCUGUUCGGAGGCCGUCAGAGAGAAGUAAAGACUGGAAGAUAACGUGACUGCUGGGUAGUGACAGGGCCUGUCUCCUGACCGCGGCUCAGCGUACCUUCCACAGGAAAAACCUACACGACCGUGUGCUGCCCAUGCCCAGGUGAGAAAAUUGAGGUGCAGAAAAGUGAAGUAACUUUCCCCAGGUCAUGCAGCGUGCCGGACUCUCUUCAGCAGGGCGGGUUGGCUGCACGAAUGAAACAAAUGUCCCUGCAUCAAAGACCAUCUUGGGCCAUCUCCUUCCUUCUUCUGUUGUCGGGGACACAGGAGGUUGGCAAAUUGGACCAGUUUACUGGUCCUUUCUCAGGUCUGCUGGUUUCUGUUCCUUUCUGGACGAGUCCUGAUCUCUGCUUCUCCUGCUUCCGGUAUCUGAGAUGGCCCAGCUCCCAGUCCUCUGUGCCCCCUCCUGCCUGGCCAACCUGUCAGGGCAUAGUCCACACAGUGAAGUGUGCACCCUGCUCGAGCCAACUUCCUUUGUAAAGUCACACAGAGACUCGGGUUUGGGAUCUAGAUCUUUCUGGGAAUAUAGGUGUCUGGGGGCAGGGGAAGGGGGGCAGGGGGGGAGGCCAACAUCUUUUCCAGACUGCUGUGACCAAAGAAACCUAAUUCAGAAUUUCUUUAGAAUUUUGUGCUCAGUAGCUUAAAGUCCUAGAACCAGAUUUAGAAAAGACUCCCAGCGCCGCCUCCCACCUGGUGUAGACGCCACCCGAACCCUCCCCUCCCCCCUCCCCACAGAUGAUGUUUUCCAGCCUCUGCAAGAGUAAAGGGGCAUCAGAUGGUCAGCUCACAAUGUUGUUGCUUUUUCCUUGCUUUUUCACUUUCCACCUGAAUAGGAGGUGUUUUGAUAUGUAGGGAAGAAUCUAUAUGCGUCAGGAAAGAACUAGACAUUGUCCUGACUCUGAAGCACAUUCUUCCGAGUUACCUGAUUCUAGCCUUUCAUCGCCAGGUGGGCUAUUUUCCAGACCUGUACACUGUAGAUAAGUACAUGCAACAUGAAAUAAUUCUUAUUUCAUGCAGGUGAACUCUGCCCAGUAGAGGGACCGUCCUUCCUCCAUGUGGUAAAAACUCUAAAUGUUUCCAGUAAGUAUGUAAAUGAGAAAGGACGCUACAUUCUUUUCUGGAUGUUGGAAUAAAUAGUACAGAAGAAGCCAUUUGUCACGUGUCCUGGGUGGCUCUAUCACCAUCCUCCUCGAGAUGGCAUUCCAGGGCCUCCCCCAGCAGAAGGCGGCACUAGACCUCCCUCAACUCCGGAGUCCCCCUCCUCCCCUCUCCUGAGUCCUCUCUACCGACACCACGGGAUGCUGUGGCUGUGGAAGUUGCGGUGGCUGAGGCGGUCGCUGCGACAGGUGCAUCACCUGCAGGUGCUACUGGGUGGGCUGCUGCCCCUGUGGGAAGGGCUGUGGGAAGGGCAAGACGCAGUGCUGUUGCUAGGUGGCUGGGGGGUAAGAGGCCGUGGGGCAUCUGCUCCCUCCAGUUAAUGAGAUGUUCCUGUCUGCCUCUGCUCCCACACCUCCCCGCUUGCUAUCACCUGGGUGCCCUGGACUUACUCUUUUUUUUUUUUUUUUAAUUUUGUAAAUGUUUAUUUGAGAGAGAGAGAGAGAGAGAGAGAGAGAGAGAGAGAGAG